GAUGAACGCUGGCGGCGUGCCUAAUACAUGCAAGUCGAGCGAAGCGGGGCCGGGUUAGUACAACGUGGAUUACCUCCUAUAAGACUGGGAUAACUUCCGGCACCCGGCGCUAUACUGGAAACUUAUAGAAGGAUCCGCGCUGCAUUAGCUAGUUGGUAAGGUAACGGCCUACCAGGGCAACGAGGAAUACCCGACCUGGGAGGGUGAUCGGGCACACUGGAACUGAGAAAGGGUCGAGACUCCUACGGGAGGCAGCGGUAGGGAAUCGUCCGCAAUGGGCGAAAGCCUGACGGAGCAACGCCGCGUGAGUGAUGAAGGUCUUCGGAUCGUAAAACUCUGGUAUUAGGGAAGCGGUACCUAAUCAGAAAGCGACGGCUAACUACGUGCCAGCAGCCGCGGUAAUAC
rnacentral:rRNA from 1 species